rnacentral:rRNA from 1 species
UACGAAGGGGGCUAGCGUUACUCGGAUUGACUGGGCGUAAAGGGCGCGUAGGCGGCUUGUACAGUCAGACGUGAAAUUCCUGGGCUCAACCUGGGGGCUGCGUUUGAUACGUAUGGGCUUGAGUUCGGAAGAGGGUCGUGGAAUUCCCAGUGUAGAGGUGAAAUUCGUAGAUAUUGGGAAGAACACCGGUGGCGAAGGCGGCGACCUGGUCCGAUACUGACGCUGAGACGCGAAAGCGUGGGGAGCAAACAGG